CCUAUGUGCAGAAUGAAUUUGCUAUACACAGGUGGCUGACUACAGCUUCCUUCUCCACAAUAACCAUUGAGAGCAGUAAUAAUGAAAUACAAGAGUACCAACACAAAGUAAAUGGCUCAGUAGAAUACAAUAAACAUUGUAUAAUAUAUAGGGAAAUAUAAUACAGGAAGGUACAAUUUAUAGUUCAAUAUUUCAACCGGGUUUUUUUGGGGGGGAAAAGGGGGAUCGUGGCAAUGUUUACUUUGUGCCGAAUUAGCAAUAAUAAAUAAGAGUUUGGUAGAGGUGGUGUGUGUGUGUGUGCGUGUGUGCGUGCAUGUGUGCGUGUGUCUGUGUGUGUGUGUGCGUGUGUCGUGUGUCUGUGUGUGUGUGUGCGCGUGUGUUUGUGUGCGCGUGUGUGUGCGCGUGUGUGCUUGUGUGCGUGCAUGUGUGCGUGUGUCUGUGUGUGUGUGCGUGUGUACGUGUGUGUGUGUGUGUGUGUGUGCGUGUGUGCGUGCGUGUGUGCGUGUGUCUGUGUGUGUGUGCGUGUGUGCGUGUGUGUGUGUGUGCGUGUGUGUAUGUCUGUGCGCGUGCGUGCGUGUGUGUGCGUGUGUGCGUGUGUGCGUGUGUUUGUGUUUGUGUGCGUGUGCACAUGUGUGUGUGUGUGUGUGUGCGGGUGUUUGUGUGUUUGUGUGUGCGUGUGUUUGUGUGUUUGUGUGUUUGUUUGUGUGUGUGUGUGUGUGUGUGUAUUUGUGUGUGUGUGUGUGUGCUAAGGUGCAGAGAGUCAGUGCAGGUGGUCAGUCCAGUUCAUGUGUCAGAAGUCUAAUGGCUUAUAGUUAGAAACUGCCUCUGGCUGUCUCAGGUCUGCCCGACGGUCAGGGAGUGGACAGCUCCUGGCUGUCUUAGGUCUGCCCGACGGUCAGGGAGUGGACAGCUCCUGGCUGUCUCAGGUCUGCCCGACGGUCAGGGAGUGGACAGCUCCUGGCUGUCUCAGGUCUGCCCGACGGUCAGGGAUUGGACAGCUCCUGGCUGUCUCAGGUCUGCCCGACGGUCAGGGAGUGGACAGCUCCUGGCUGUCUCAGGUCUGCCCGACGGUCAGAGAGUGGACAGCUCCUGGCUGUGUGGGGUCCUUGAUGGUGCUGUGGGACUUCCAUAGGAGCCGUUUCAAGUAGAUGUCCUGGAUGGGUGGGAACACUGUCCAUGUGAUUUACUGGCACGUUUCACCUCCCAUACUAGGCCGUGAAGGCCCGUUUCACCUCCCAUACUAGGCCGUGAAGGCCCGUUUCAGGAUGGUCUCGAUGGUGCAGCGAGAGAGAGAAAAAGAGAGAGAGAGAGAGAGAGAGAGAGACCACAAAAUUACUUCGACCCUGCUGCCAUACAGUGGGUAAACGCAAGCAUUUCCCAUGACUGUGCCUCAAAACCUAACCACUCCACCCUGGACUUGAACAGUCUUUAUGACCAGGUCCACCCAUACAAGGCAGCAGGGCCCACCUUCGCCAGAACCCUGAAGGACGUCACCCUCAACCGCAGCCCCAACAC
ensembl:lncRNA